UGCCUUACACAUGCAAGUCGAACGGCGCACGGGAGCAAUCCUGGUGGCGAGUGGCGAACGGGUGAGUAAUACAUCGGAACGUGUCCUGUAGUGGGGGAUAGCCCGGCGAAAGCCGGAUUAAUACCGCAUACGCUCUGCGGAGGAAAGCGGGGGAUCCUUCGGGACCUCGCGCUACAGGGGCGGCCGAUGGCAGAUUAGCUAGUUGGUGGGGUAAAGGCCUACCAAGGCGACGAUCUGUAGCUGGUCUGAGAGGACGACCAGCCACACUGGGACUGAGACACGGCCCAGACUCCUACGGGAGGCAGCAGUGGGGAAUUUUGGACAAUGGGCGCAAGCCUGAUCCAGCAAUGCCGCGUGUGUGAAGAAGGCCUUCGGGUUGUAAAGCACUUUUGUCCGGAAAGAAAACCGCCUGGCUAAUAUCCGGGCGGGAUGACGGUACCGGAAGAAUAAGCACCGGCUAACUACGUGCCAGCAGCCGCGGUAAUACGUAGGGUGCAAGCGUUAAUCGGAAUUACUGGGCGUAAAGCGUGCGCAGGCGGUUCGCUAAGACAGAUGUGAAAUCCCCGGGCUUAACCUGGGAACUGCAUUUGUGACUGGCGGGCUAGAGUAUGGCAGAGGGGGGUAGAAUUCCACGUGUAGCAGUGAAAUGCGUAGAGAUGUGGAGGAAUACCGAUGGCGAAGGCAGCCCCCUGGGCCAAUACUGACGCUCAUGCACGAAAGCGUGGGGAGCAAACAGGAUUAAAUACCCUGGUAGUCACGCCCUAAACGAUGUUCACUGGUUGUCGGGCCU
rnacentral:rRNA from 1 species